GUGGCUGUAGAUCAGUGGUAGAUCCCUUGAUUGUGGUUCAAGUUGUCGCGGGUUCGAAUCCCGUCAGCCACCCCA
rnacentral:tRNA from 1 species